rnacentral:rRNA from 1 species
AGAGUUUGAUUAUGGCUCAGGAUGAACGCUGGCGGCGUGCCUAACACAUGCAAGUCGAGCGAUUCUCUUCGGAGAAGAGCGGCGGACGGGUGAGUAACGCGUGGGUAACCUGCCUCAUACACAUGGAUAACAUACCGAAAGGUAUGCUAAUACAGGAUAAUAUAAGAGAUUCACAUGGAUUUCUUAUCAAAGCUCCGGCGGUAUGAGAUGGACCCGCGUCUGAUUAGCUAGUUGGCAAGGUAACGGCUUACCAAGGCGACGAUCAGUAGCCGACCUGAGAGGGUGAUCGGCCACAUUGGAACUGAGACACGGUCCAAACUCCUACGGGAGGCAGCAGUGGGGAAUAUUGCACAAUGGGCGAAAGCCUGAUGCAGCAACGCCGCGUGAGUGAUGAAGGCCUUCGGGUCGUAAAACUCUGUCCUCAAGGAAGAUAAUGACGGUACUUGAGGAGGAAGCCCCGGCUAACUACGUGCCAGCCGCCGC